rnacentral:rRNA from 1 species
GACGAACGCUGGCGGCGUGCUUAACACAUGCAAGUCGAACGGAAAGGCCCCUUUGGGGGUCCUCGAGUGGCGAACGGGUGAGUAACACGUGAGUAACCUGCCCUUGACUUCGGGAGAACUUCAGGAAACUGGGGCUAAUACCGGAUAGGAAUCCUUGCUGCAUGGUGGGGGUUGGAAAGCUUCGGCGGUUUUGGAUGGACUCGCGGCGUAUCAGCUUGUUGGUGGGGUAGUGGCUUACCAAGGCUUGGACGGGUAGCCGGCCUGAGAGGGCGACCGGCCACAUUGGGACUGAGAUACGGCCCAGACUCCUACGGGAGGCAGAAGUGGGGAAUAUUGCACAAUGGGCGGAAGCCUGAUGCAGCAACGCCGCGUGCGGGAUGACGGCCUUCGGGUUGUAAACCGCUUUCAGCAGGGGCGAAGCUUGUGGUGACGGUACCUGCAGAAGAAGCACCGGCUAACUACGUG